rnacentral:rRNA from 1 species
AGAACCCCUGUGAGGGGAGUGAAAUAGCACCAGAAAGUGUGUACAUACAAGCAGUGGGAGCAGGUUUGUUGUGUGAGUGCGUAUUUUUUAUAUAGUGUGUGAGCGAUAUAUAUUCAGUGGCAAGUUAACUAUCGGGGGGAGCCGGGGAAAAAGCGUGUCUUAAGUGGGCGUUCUCUCUCUAUAUAUACACCAGAAACC